AUGGCCGCCGCCGCCGCCACCACCACCACCACCGCCACCGCCGCCACACCCUCCUCCCGUCCCCUCCGCGCGCCCCCCGCGCCGUCCACCGUCCAUCGACAGCUCAGGUGCCACGCCGGCCCCAGCCCCUCGCUCCUCGCGCUGCGCCACCGCGCCGCCCGCGCCCCGCCGGCCCGGGCCCUGCUCGACAAGGUCACGCCCUUCAACUUCGGCGAGGAGGAGGACGACGGCGGCGACGACCACCCCCGCGAGGAGUGCGGCGUGUUCGGCGUCGUGGGCGACCCGGAGGCGUCGUCGCUCUGCUAUCUCGGCCUGCAGAAGCUGCAGCAUCGCGGGGAGGAGGGCGCCGGCAUCUGCGCCGCCGGGGACGACGGCAAGCUCAAGUCCGUGACGGGGCUGGGGCUCGUCAGCGACGUGUUCAGGGACCCGGCGCACCUCGGGAGCCUCCCCGGGCAGGCCGCCAUCGGCCACGUCCGCUACUCCACCUCCGGCGGCCAGGCCCAGCUGUGCAACGUGCAGCCGUUCCUCGCCGGGUACCGGUUCGGGCAGCUCGCCGUGGCGCACAACGGCAACCUGGUGAACUACCUGCCGCUGCGCCACAAGCUGGAGGCGCAGGGCUCCAUCUUCAACAACUCGUCGGACACGGAGGUCAUCCUCCACCUCAUCGCCACGUCGCUCUCGCGCCCGCUGCUUGCCCGCAUCUGCGACGCCUGCGAGCGCCUCCAGGGCGCCUACUCGCUGCUCUUCCUCACGGCCGACAAGCUCUUCGCCGUGCGCGACCCCUUCGGCUUCCGCCCGCUGGUCAUGGGCCGCCGCCCCAACGGCGCCGUCGUGUUCGCGUCGGAGACCUGCGCGCUCGACCUCAUCGACGCCGUGUACGAGCGGGAGGUGGAGCCCGGGGAGGUGAUCGUCGUGGACCGCCGGGACAUGUCCGUGUCCUCGGCCUGCCUCGUCCCGCACCGCCCGCGCAAGUCGUGCGUGUUCGAGCACAUUUACUUCGCGCUGCCCAAUUCCAUCGUGUUCGGGCACGCCGUCCACGAGCGGCGCACCGCCUACGGCCGCGCGCUGGCCGAGGAGUCCCCCGCCCCGACCGCCGACGUGGUCAUCCCCGUGCCGGACUCUGGCUUCUACGCGGCGCUCGGCUUCGCGCAGGCCUCGGGGCUCGAGUUCCAGCAGGGGCUCAUCCGGUCGCAUUACACCGGCCGCAGCUUCAUCCAGCCGACGCAGGCGAUCCGCGACCUCGCCGUGAAGCUCAAGCUCGCGCCCGUGCGCGGCGUCAUCACGGGCAAGAGCGUGGUCGUGGUCGACGACUCGAUCGUGCGCGGCACCACGUCGAGCAAGAUCGUGCGCCUGCUCCGCGACGCCGGGGCCCGCGAGGUGCACAUGCGCAUCUCCAGCCCGCCGGUGGUGGGCCGAUGCCACUACGGCAUCGACACGCCGGACGAGAAGGAGCUGAUAUCCAACCGGCUGGACGUCGAGGGCGUGCGCGAGAUGAUCGGCUGCGACUCGCUCGGCUUCCUUUCGCUGGACAAGCUCCACAGCAUCUACGGCGACGAGGCGGACGAGCUCUGCGACGCCUGCUUCUCGCGGAACUACCCAGUGCCUAUGCCGGAGAAGGUGCCGGCGAUGGCAUCCGCCGAUGAUGAAGACUGA
rnacentral:rRNA from 1 species